AAGACUCUACUUUCAGGGAUCAUUUCUUUAGUUUGGAACUAGAGGAUUGUGUUUCUACAGAGGUUGGUCUUGCUGCCCAUGAUGAUGAAUGAAGAUGUUUCCUUCAGAGCAGGAAGCUGGUGAGAAGAUGAGAAUCUUCUUCACUGAUGAAGACUGUUCAGUGUUUCUGGAUGUGACACUGAAGGAGGAAACAUUGUCUGAGUGGA
rnacentral:snoRNA from 1 species